GAUGAACGCUGGCGGCGUGCCUAAUACAUGCAAGUCGAGCGAACAGACGAGGAGCUUGCUCCUCUGACGUUAGCGGCGGACGGGUGAGUAACACGUGGAUAACCUACCUAUAAGACUGGGAUAACUUCGGGAAACCGGAGCUAAUACCGGAUAAUAUAUUGAACCGCAUGGUUCAAUAGUGAAAGACGGUUUUGCUGUCACUUAUAGAUGGAUCCGCGCCGCAUUAGCUAGUUGGUAAGGUAACGGCUUACCAAGGCAACGAUGCGUAGCCGACCUGAGAGGGUGAUCGGCCACACUGGAACUGGGACACGGUCCAGACUCCUACGGGAGGCAGCAGUAGGGAAUCUUCCGCAAUGGGCGGAAGCCUGACGGAGCAACGCCGCGUGGGUGAUGAAGGUCUUCGGAUCGUAAAACUCUGUUAUUAGGGAAGAACAAAUGUGUAAGUAACUAUGCACGUCUUGACGGUACCUAAUCAGAAAGCCACGGCUAACUACGUG
rnacentral:rRNA from 1 species